rnacentral:rRNA from 1 species
UAGGGAAUCUUCCGCAAUGGACGAAAGUCUGACGGAGCAACGCCGCGUGAGUGAUGAAGGGUUUCGGCUCGUAAAGCUCUGUUAUGAGGGAAGAACACGUACCGUUCGAAUAGGGCGGUACCUUGACGGUACCUCAUCAGAAAGCCACGGCUAACUACGUGCCAGCAGCCGCGGUAAUACGUAGGUGGCAAGCGUUGUCCGGAAUUAUUGGGCGUAAAGCGCGCGCAGGCGGCCUUUUAAGUCUGAUGUGAAAUCCUGCGGCUCAACCGCAAGCGGCCAUUGGAAACUGGGAGGCUUGAGUACAGAAGAGGAGAGUGGAAUUCCACGUGUAGCGGUGAAAUGCGUAGAUAUGUGGAGGAACACCAGUGGCGAAGGCGACUCUCUGGUCUGUAACUGACGCUGAGGCGCGAAAGCGUGGGGAGCAAACAGGAUUAGAUACCCUGGUAGUCCACGCCGUAAACGAUGAGUGCUAGGUGUUAGGGGUUUCGAUGCCCG